CACAUGAACUAUUGACAUUAAUAACUUGAUUCCAGGGCCGUCCCCAUACCCCGUGCGGUAUAGGCAUAUAAACACAUAAGGUCUCCAUACCCCGUCCGGUAUGAGAGACCAUGUUCCCGGUAGGGUUUCCUACGGACCCGGUCCGUCCACCAUCUCUCAGGAUAUCUAGUCAGGCUGUCCACAUUAUCCAUUUAUCAAUUCACAUAACGUUUUUUCCCUUUUCCUUGGUCUCAAUCAUCCAAUCAUACACAAACAUGUAAACCAGUAAUUGACGCCAAACAAGACAACACAGUAUCGAGUUCACCAUAAUACAAACCAUAAUAAAAGAAACCAUGAUUCAUGCAUACGAGACCAUAAAAUAA
rnacentral:lncRNA from 1 species